GGAGAUGUAGCUCAGUAGGUAGAAUGCUUGUUUAGCAUACAUNAAACCCUGGGUUAGAGUUCCAGCAUCGCAA
rnacentral:tRNA from 1 species